rnacentral:sRNA from 1 species
UGUCAGUGUUUUAAUACAACAACAACCAAGUUAUGAAAAUAUAUAGUCAGCGAAAUAAUUAAAAAAUCUGAAAUUAUCUCCAAAAUAUCCUGCUCAUAUACUUAAGCCACCUCAAAAAAAAUGGUUAAAAAAGAUGACCUUUCUGCUUAAGAAAAGUGGAGCAACGCCUUGCUAUUGAGUCUACAGGACGUGCCCACUGUUGAGGGGUGAUUUUCCUUCAUUCUUCCUGUAAAAUUCGGCACAAAUCCUUUUAAUUGCUGUUUUUUUUUUGGGCAAUGACUUGGUUUAGAAUUCCCCACAAGUUCUCUAUAGGGUUCUGGUCGGAACUCUCCGGAGACCAUUACAAAACAUUGAUUCCCUCUUGGUUAAGCCACCACUUGAGUAUCCUGCAGCAAUGUAUCGGGUCGUUGUCCUGUUAAAA